UUCAUUCCCGGUUAAGGUUUUUUGGGUUUCGUGCCAAUCACCGCCUACAUCGCUGCCUAGGAAUUGACGGGGUUUUAUUAUGGAUUUCAUUUACUUUUGCCCUUUUGACAUAUUCCUUGGAUCAUGGAAGGUGAGUGAUUAGCUGUUUAUUCAGUGGACUCUUUUUCGUUGAUUUUCACUAUCUUAUUUUUUUAAAAUUGUUAUUUACUGUAGAAAUCUGAAACUUUCUUGCCUGUUCAUCUAAAUGCAAAGAAUGAAAUACUGCACACCCUUGCAUUUGUUUCUGCCGUUUCUUUCCAGGUGCUUGUCGGAUUUUAUAACUAUCAAAUGUUGAAGGAUAUUAUUGCUGAGAAAAGGUUUGUAUUUUAGAGAAAUAGAUUGUUUGAUGUUUAAGACCUUUUAGUUUGAAGAGUUUUCUUUGUUAACUAGUUUCUUUAUCUCUUUGUUUCUGCCUUAUUGAAGGAGCUAUCUCUCUCUCUCUCUCUCCGUUAUACAUGCUGAUAAUAGCCUUCAAUUUGCUGGCUAAUAAUAUCUGCUUUCAGCUUUUUACUUGAUGAGGAUGAGAUGCAUGCAUUUUGAUUCCUGGGCAGUACGAUGGACGACCGGUGAGGCUGAUUCCCUGGUCAAAGAUGCAGUCAUAAGGCCAACUGAUAUUUUAUGGGUCAUUGACGAAGCAGCACAUUAAUUCCGCUGGGCUGCCUAACCAGGAUGAGUAGUUUGCACAGACUCUCCCUCUCCUUGCUGCCCUUUUAUUUUUUACCUUGAUAUGGAGUUUUCUUAUGUACAGAAUAUUUUGUAUAGCGUUUCUUGUUAGAAGGUUAGUCCCCUCUCUCUGUGGACUGCCUUACCUCUCCUGCAGAAGAAUUUUGCAGUACUGCAGGUCUUUUGUAAAGACCACGAGAUCAUAAAAUUUUCAAAUUUUGGUAGAGAAUUGGAAAGUUUUCUAUUCUCAUC